rnacentral:rRNA from 1 species
UGAACGCUGGCGGCAGGCCUAACACAUGCAAGUCGAACGGUAACAGAAAGAAGCUUGCUUCUUUGCUGACGAGUGGCGGACGGGUGAGUAAUGUCUGGGAAACUGCCUGAUGGAGGGGGAUAACUACUGGAAACGGUAGCUAAUACCGCAUAACGUCGCAAGACCAAAGAGGGGGACCUUCGGGCCUCUUGCCAUCGGAUGUGCCCAGAUGGGAUUAGCUUGUUGGUGGGGUAACGGCUCACCAAGGCGACGAUCCCUAGCUGGUCUGAGAGGAUGACCAGCCACACUGGAACUGAGACACGGUCCAGACUCCUACGGGAGGCAGCAGUGGGGAAUAUUGCACAAUGGGCGCAAGCCUGAUGCAGCCAUGCCGCGUGUAUGAAGAAGGCCUUCGGGUUGUAAAGUACUUUCAGCGGGGAGGAAGGGAGUAAAGUUAAUACCUUUGCUCAUUGACGUUACCCGCAGAAGAAGCACCGGCUAACUCCGUGCCAGCAGCCGCGGUAAUACGGAGGGUGCAAGCGUUAAUCGGAAUUACUGGGCGUAAAGCGCACGCAGGCGGUUUGUUAAGUCAGAUGUGAAAUCCCCGGGCUCAACCUGGGAACUGCAUCUGAUACUGGCAAGCUUGAGUCUCGUAGAGGGGGGUAGAAUUCCAGGUGUAGCGGUGAAAUGCGUAGAGAUCUGGAGGAAUACCGGUGGCGAAGGCGGCCCCCUGGACGAAGACUGACGCUCAGGUGCGAAAGCGUGGGGAGCAAACAGGAUCAGAUACCCUGGUAGUCCACGCCGUAAACGAUGUCGACUUGGAGGUUGUGCCCUUGAGGCGUGGCUUCCGGAGCUAACGCGUUAAGUCGACCGCCUGGGGAGUACGGCCGCAAGGUUAAAACUCAAAUGAAUUGACGGGGGCCCGCACAAGCGGUGGAGCAUGUGGUUUAAUUCGAUGCAACGCGAAGAACCUUACCUGGUCUUGACAUCCACAGAACUUUCCAGAGAUGGAUUGGUGCCUUCGGGAACUGUGAGACAGGUGCUGCAUGGCUGUCGUCAGCUCGUGUUGUGAAAUGUUGGGUUAAGUCCCGCAACGAGCGCAACCCUUAUCCUUUGUUGCCAGCGGUCCGGCCGGGAACUCAAAGGAGACUGCCAGUGAUAAACUGGAGGAAGGUGGGGAUGACGUCAAGUCAUCAUGGCCCUUACGACCAGGGCUACACACGUGCUACAAUGGCGCAUACAAAGAGAAGCGACCUCGCGAGAGCAAGCGGACCUCAUAAAGUGCGUCGUAGUCCGGAUUGGAGUCUGCAACUCGACUCCAUGAAGUCGGAAUCGCUAGUAAUCGUGGAUCAGAAUGCCACGGUGAAUACGUUCCCGGGUCUUGUACACACCGCCCGUCACACCAUGGGAGUGGGUUGCAAAAGAAGUAGGUAGCUUAACCUUCGGGAGGGCGCUUACCACUUUGUGAUUCAUGACUGGGG